UGCCCACUCGUCUAAGGGCAGGACGACUGUCUCUGGAACAGUUAAUCGUGGUUCGAAUCCACGGUGGGCAGCCA
rnacentral:tRNA from 1 species